rnacentral:lncRNA from 1 species
GAUAAAUAAAAUAUAUAUAUAUGCAUUUAAGUCCUCUCUCCUUUCAAGGGUCACCCACUUCUGCCUUGGGCCACACAGGGGGUAUUGUGUAAGACUUAAACCUCUAAACUUUUCAUCAUUGUGCUCUGUUUCCUUAAAGAAAGGGCUUCAGUGGUAGGACUAGCCCUACUCUGUCUCUCUAGCUCUGGGCAGGUUCCUUUCAUUGCUUACAUGUCACUUUGUCAGUGGGCAAACAGGAGGUUAGUGACACCUCCGUCCCUGGGACAGUGAGGGACCCUGAAGUUUAGGCCCCUAGGACUCUCAGAAAGGCACAAGAGAGGUGGGUGUGACAUCAGGGAGUGGCAGAGCAGAUCUACAGGGCCUUCUGUCCAUGUAGGAUAGUGACCCUUGUGCAGAGGCCUUCCUGGGUCUUGUUGCCUAAGGACUUUCCCUGCCAGAAGUGUCCCCACAGUGGCUCUCAACAAAGAUGGACAGGAGUUGGUGAGUGUGCACCUAGCCUUCCUCACUCCUCAGGACUUUUUUAAGAAUCUUGUAAAGUGCUGAUACACGAUAAUACACAAAGCAAAUGUGCAGCCCCAUGAAGUACUCUAAGGUGACACUUGCAUAACCAUUGGUGGGACUGUUGUGAGGUGCAUUCCCCUCAGUAUCCCCCCUUGCCAACAGGGUGUCUUGUUCUAGGACGUGGUGUCUAGAUGACUGGUUGCCCCAUGGUUACCUGCUCCUUUACUGACCCACCUCUUCUGACUUCUUCCCACUCCCUAACCUUUGUCUUGGGAUAUCUUCCAAAGAAGUCACUGUACCCAGUGGUUGUCUCAGUGAACACUUUCUGGUAAAGCUGAAGUUCAAACCGUCUUUCAAAGAUAGAUGUUGAGAGCUGAGUGUGGGGAGGGAGCUGUGGAGUUCCUGACUCUCAGUGGUCUUGAGUGUGUACACAACAGAAAAAGAAGCCUUCCUUGCUGGAACACUGUGUGGGGAGGGGCAGGCAC